CCUACGGGUGGCUGCAGUGGGGAAUAUUGGACAAUGGGGGCAACCCUGAUCCAGCCAUGCCGCGUGUGUGAAGAAGGCCCUCGGGUUGUAAAGCACUUUCAGUGAGGAAGAACGCCUGGUGGUUAAUACCCAUCAGGAAAGACAUCACUCACAGAAGAAGCACCGGCUAACUCCGUGCCAGCAGCCGCGGUAAUACGGAGGGUGCGAGCGUUAAUCGGAUUUACUGGGCGUAAAGCGCGCGUAGGUGGCUUGAUAAGCCGGUUGUGAAAGCCCCGGGCUCAACCUGGGAACGGCAUCCGGAACUGUCAAGCUAGAGUGCAGGAGAGGAAGGUAGAAUUCCCGGUGUAGCGGUGAAAUGCGUAGAGAUCGGGAGGAAUACCAGUGGCGAAGGCGGCCUUCUGGACUGACACUGACACUGAGGUGCGAAAGCGUGGGUAGCAAACAGGAUUAGAUACCCCAGUAGUC
rnacentral:rRNA from 1 species